rnacentral:rRNA from 1 species
UACGGGAGGCAGCAGUGGGGAAUAUUGCACAAUGGGCGCAAGCCUGAUGCAGCCAUGCCGCGUGUAUGAAGAAGGCCUUCGGGUUGUAAAGUACUUUCAGUCGUGAGGAAGGUGUUAAGGUUAAUAACCUUAGCAAUUGACGUUAGCGACAGAAGAAGCACCGGCUAGCUCCGUGCCAGCAGCCGCGGUAAUACGGAGGGUGCGAGCGUUAAUCGGAAUUACUGGGCGUAAAGGGCACGCAGGCGGUUAAUUAAGUUGGAUGUGAAAAUCCCCGGGCUUAACCUGGGAAUGGCAUUCAAGACUGGUUAGCUAGAGUCUUGUAGAGGGGGUAGAAUUCCAUGUGUAGCGGUGAAAUGCGUAGAGAUGUGGAGGAAUACCGGUGGCGAAGGCGGCCCCUGGGACAAAGACUGACGCUCAUGUGCGAAAGCGUGGGGAGCAAACAGGGAUUAGAUACC